rnacentral:misc_RNA from 1 species
AACAAAUGUAGCCUCAAAUUCAGUCUCUCACCGUUCUCAAUUCCUGCCUCUCAAUGUCCUCGUCAACAGACCAAAUCUUCAGUGACCAGAAACCUCCACAAUCGAACCCUCAAAAUAUCCGGAAAACCUUCAAUAAACUCAAAAAGUACACCUCCAAACUCGCCAAUUUCGCUCUCCAAUGGCAGGAUCUCGAGGAUCAUUUCCUCUCGAUCGAUACCCAACUCCAGGAGCUCGAGAAAACCUACAAAAUCAAUACCCAGCAAGCUUUUUCAUCCCAAAUCGAGAACCCAGAAAGGGUAAACGGAGAUACCAUCACAAGACCGGUUGUUCAAUCUGAAAACAGAAUGCUUGAAAGCGAAAUUGAAGAUUGUGAAACGAAACCAUCUGUUCAUUCCCAAAACGAAAACCUAGAAAGCGAACAAAAUUGGAAAAGCAGGAGUGGCUCAAAGAGCCCUUAUAUACCCAUAGAUAGCGGCAGGUCUUUGUUAUUGUACUUAAAUGAGCAUGUAAAAGAGCAUGAGGUUUUGAAAAGUGGCGUAUACAAAGUUCUUAAAGACGCGUCUCAUCCUGGGAAAGUGGUACUCGAAGCUUUGAGAUUCUUCUAUCCAUCAGAUUCAAGUAAAGGUGAUCUGCGUACUGAUGUGAGCGUUACAAGGAAGAGUUGUGUGGUUUUACUUGAGGAAUUGGGUAGGGUGGGGCCUUUGAUAGGAUCGCAAGAUAGGGGGGAAGCGUUGAGAAUGGUGUUGGAGUGGAAAGAGAAAAUGAAGAAGUCUUUGGAGGUUUUCGGGUUUCUGAUGCUUGUGGCUGUUUUUGGGUUAGUGGAUGAAUUUGAUAAGGAGGAGACAUUGAAGCAUUUUGAUAAUGUUGCGCAGCGUGAGCAGGCACCUGAGUUAUUUCGAGUUCUUGGAUUUGCAGAUAAAGCUUAUGGUGAGUUUCACCAGAAUCGUUGGUUUUGUGAUUGCCUUUCGUCCUCUUCUUGUUAUGUUUCUCGUCCUCUUCUUGUUAACCUUUUAAUUUAGAUGGUCUAGAGCGUUUAAAUUUUCAUUCUGUUUAUCUAUGCAUAAAUGGUGCUUAUGCUUUUGCUAAUCUAUCUUAUAGAUUGCAAAGAAUUGAAAUUAAAAAUUAGAUAUAAAUUAUAGAAUGCAUGGAAGUUUUAUGUUCUGCUUGGAUUGUCGAAUAAUUUUAUGGCUUCAGUGUAUGGAAUUUGUGCUCAAUUACAAUUAUUAAUUGUAAGAAGAUGUUAAAAAUCUGAAUUGCAAUGUAAGAAGGCAUUUUUCAUUUCUUGCAUCCAUGAUAUAUCCUCUAUCUUCCAUGAACUUUAAUAUGCAAAAGUUGAUGGAACCUGCUGCUAUCUUGUUUUGAUUUUGUAGACUUUAUCCAGAAGCUUAUUGGCAAAAAUAAGAUACUUGAGGCUGUUCCUUUCAUAUUUGCCUUUGGUCUAGUUGAUAAAUUCCCUCCAGUGCCCCUGCUUAGACUGCAUGCAGAGCGUGCUGAGAAGAAUUAUAAAAAGAUUUGCAGCAAGGGAAAUAAUUCUUCAAAGGCGCUGGAUGAUGCUACAGGUACAGAAAUAGCUGCUCUGAGAGGUAUACUAGGAUUAAUCAAGAAAUAUGAGCUUCAGUCAGAGUACUCACCUCAGGUUAUUAGGGAUCGUAUCCUUAAGCUUAAAAAGCAGAAAAAUGAGAAAAAAGCCGCUGGAAGAUCCCCUAAACCUGUGGUUCAGCUGCAGCAGCAGAUUGGAAAUAAACGAACUGCUUCUGAUAAUUCACAACAGAAACAGCAGGAUACAUAUAAGCGUCUCCGGACAGUGGCAACAACAGUGCCUACCUCAAAUAUUUCUGUCAAUACGCCAAUGAACUUGAAACUACCAUCUUAUCAUCAAGAGGCAGGAUUGUACAGGGGUGAAGAUGCAAAAUACUUCUCCCCAUUAUCUGGAAGAACAGCACUGGCAAACAGCUUCACAAACGCUUCUGUUAGUGCUACUUUGACUAGUCGGUCAACACAAUUGUCUCGCAUGCAUACAGCAAGCUUAAUAUCGGGGCAAGGUGCACAGCAAUUAAUCCAAUCUUCCAGACUCUCCAGUUUGGCAGGCUCCUUUCCAGUUACUGCGCCUACAACAUUGUCUGAUGGCAGAGCGCGUAAUGCUUUCCAUACGCUAUCAAUGAGUUCAGUGCCUGGACAGUAUAGGCCUAUUGGAUCUGUUCCUGCUGCUAACCAUCAUCACCAUACUCCAACAAUCGAUCGAUACCGCUUAAUGGCCUCAACAUCUUUCAGACCACAUAUGAGCGCAUUAGUUUCACAAUAUCAUACAAACAUCAGAAAUGAGAACACUGGUAGACUUGGAUCAACUGAUUUCCCCUACACAAAUUGGCAUCGCAUCUAAUUCAAAUUCUUGUGAAUAAGUCCCUUGUAUCUUUGAGAAGCAGUUAGAACAU